AGAGUUUGAUCAUGGCUCAGGAUGAACGCUGGCGGCGUGCCUAACACAUGCAAGUCGAACGUGAGGGGGUAGCAAUAUCCCUGAAAGUGGCGAACGGGUGAGUAACACGUAGGUAACCUGCCGCGCAGAGGGGGAUAACGACUGGAAACGGUCGCUAAUACCGCAUGGUACUGUUAGACAGGGAUGUCUGAUGGUUAAAACUAUGGUGCUGCACGAGGGGCCUGCGUCCGAUUAGUUAGUUGGUGAGGCAACGGCUCACCAAGACGAUGAUCGGUAGCUAGUCUGAGAGGAUGAUUAGCCACACGGGAACUGAGACACGGUCCCGACUCCUACGGGGGGCAGCAGUGAGGAAUAUUGCACAAUGGACGCAAGUCUGAUGCAGCAACGCCGCGUGGAGGAUGAAGGUCUUUGGAUUGUAAACUCCUUUUCUCAGGGAAGAGAAUGGACGGUACCUGAGGAAUAAGUCACGGCUAACUACGUGCCAGCAGCCGCGGUAAUACGUAGGUGGCAAGCGUUAUCCGGAAUUACUGGGCGUAAAGCGCACGCAGGCGGUCUCUUAAGUUUGACGUGAAAGCUCCCGGCUUAACUGGGAGAGGUCGUUGAAGACUGGGAGGCUUGAGGCAAUGAGAGGGGUGUAGAAUUCCCGGUGUAGUGGUGGAAUGCGUAGAUAUCGGGGGGAAUACCAGUGGCGAAAGCGGCACCCUAGCGUUAGCCUGACGCUCAUGUGCGAAAGCG
rnacentral:rRNA from 1 species